CCCCUAGAUGUUCUGGGCCGCACGCGCGCUACACUGAACAGUUCAACAAGUCUUAACCUUGGCCGAUAGGUCUGGGUAAUCUUUGAACGCUGUUCGUGAUUGGGAUAGACCUUUGCAAUUAUGGGUCUUCAACGAGGAAUUCCUAGUAAACGCAAGUCAUCAGCUUGCAUUGAUUACGUCCCUGCCCUUUGUACACACCGCCCGUCGCACCUACCGAUUGAAUGGUCCGGUGAAAUCUCGGGACGGCGGCUUGGUCGCUUGCGUCCGACUACUGAAACUUGAUUAAACCAUAUCAUUUAGAGGAAGGUGAANUCGUANCA
rnacentral:rRNA from 1 species